rnacentral:rRNA from 1 species
CGGGCGGGGAUUAGUGGCGAACGGGUGAGUAACACGUGGGCAAUCUGCCCUGCACUCUGGGACAAGCCCUGGAAACGGGGUCUAAUACCGGAUAUGACUGUCCAUCGCAUGGUGGAUGGUGUAAAGCUCCGGCGGUGCAGGAUGAGCCCGCGGCCUAUCAGCUUGUUGGUGAGGUAGUGGCUCACCAAGGCGACGACGGGUAGCCGGCCUGAGAGGGCGACCGGCCACACUGGGACUGAGACACGGCCCAGACUCCUACGGGAGGCAGCAGUGGGGAAUAUUGCACAAUGGGCGAAAGCCUGAUGCAGCGACGCCGCGUGAGGGAUGACGGCCUUCGGGUUGUAAACCUCUUUCAGCAGGGAAGAAGCGAAAGUGACGGUACCUGCAGAAGAAGCGCCGGCUAACUACGUGCCAGCAGCCGCGGUAAUACGUAGGGCGCAAGCGUUGUCCGGAAUUAUUGGGCGUAAAGAGCUCGUAGGCGGCUUGUCACGUCGGUUGUGAAAGCCCGGGGCUUAACCCCGGGUCUGCAGUCGAUACGGGCAGGCUAGAGUUCGGUAGGGGAGAUCGGAAUUCCUGGUGUAGCGGUGAAAUGCGCAGAUAUCAGGAGGAACACCGGUGGCGAAGGCGGAUCUCUGGGCCGAUACUGACGCUGAGGAGCGAAAGCGUGGGGAGCGAACAGGAUUAGAUACCCUGGUAGUCCACGCCGUAAACGGUGGGCACUA